rnacentral:rRNA from 1 species
UACGUAGGUGGCAAGCGUUGUCCGGAUUUACUGGGCGUAAAGAGCGCGCAGGCGGUCGUUCAAGUCGCGUGUGAAAGCCCCCGGCUCAACUGGGGAGGGUCACGCGAUACUGAUCGACUCGAAGGCAGGAGAGGGUAGUGGAAUUCCCGGUGUAGUGGUGAAAUGCGUAGAUAUCGGGAGGAACACCAGUGGCGAAGGCGGCGACCUGGUCCUUUUACUGACGCUGAGGCGCGAAAGCGUGGGGAGCAAACAGG